rnacentral:rRNA from 1 species
UACGGGGGGGGCAAGCGUUGUUCGGAAUUACUGGGCGUAAAGGGCUCGUAGGUGGCCAACUAAGUCAGACGUGAAAUCCCCAGGCUCAACUUGGGAACUGCGUCUGAUACUGGAUGGCUUGAAUUCGGGAGAGGGAUGCAGAAUUCCAGGUGUAGCGGUGAAAUGCGUAGAUAUCUGGAGGAACACCGGUGGCGAAGGCGGGUCUCUGGGCAGUAACUGACGCUGAGGAGCGAAAGCGUGGGGAGCGAACAGG